AUUGAACGCUGGCGGCAGGCCUAACACAUGCAAGUCGAGCGGUUGACGGGAGCUUGCUCCCUGAUUCAGCGGCGGACGGGUGAGUAAUGCCUAGGAAUCUGCCUAUUAGUGGGGGACAACGUUUCGAAAGGAACGCUAAUACCGCAUACGUCCUACGGGAGAAAGCAGGGGACCUUCGGGCCUUGCGCUAACAGAUGAGCCUAGGUCGGAUUAGCUUGUUGGUGAGGUAAUGGCUCACCAAGGUGACGAUCCGUAACUGGUCUGAGAGGACGAUCAGUCACACUGGAACUGAGACACGGUCCAGACUCCUACGGGAGGCAGCAGUGGGGAAUAUUGGACAAUGGGCGAAAGCCUGAUCCAGCCAUGCCGCGUGUGUGAAGAAGGUCUUCGGAUUGUAAAGCACUUUAAGUUGGGAGGAAGGGUUGUAGAUUAAUACUCUGCAAUUUUGACGUUACCGACAGAAUAAGCACCGGCUAACUCUGUGCCAGCCGCCGCAGUAA
rnacentral:rRNA from 1 species